AUUGAACGCUGGCGGCAGGCCUAACACAUGCAAGUCGAGCGGUGCGGCGGACGGGCGAGUAAUGCCUAGGAAUCUGCCUGGUAGUGGGGGUUAACGUCCGGCAACGGGCGCUAAUACCGCACACUAUCAGAUGAGCCUAGGUCGGAUUAGCUAGUUGGUGGGGUAAAGGCCUACCUAGGCAACGAUCCGUAACUGGUCUGAGAGGAUGAUCAGGCAAACUGGAACAGAGACACGGACCAGACUCCUACGGGAGGCAGCAGUGGGGAAUAUUGGAAAAUGGGCGAAAGCCUGAACCAGCCAUGCCGCGUGGGUGAAGAAGGUCUUAGGAUUGUAAAGCACUUUAAGUUGGGAGGCGUUACCAACAGAAUAAGCACCGGCUAACUUCGUGCCAGCCGCCGCGGUAAUAC
rnacentral:rRNA from 1 species